rnacentral:rRNA from 1 species
AUAACUCCGGAAUAGCCUUUCGAAAGAAAGAUUAAUACCGGAUAGCAUACGAAUAUCGCAUGAUAUUUUUAUUUAAAGAAUUUCGGUUAUCGAUGGGGAUGCGUUCCAUUAGUUUGUUGGCGGGGUAACGGCCCACCAAGACUACGAUGGAUAGGGGUUCUGAGAGGAAGGUCCCCCACAUUGGAACUGAGACACGGUCCAAACUCCUACGGGAGGCAGCAUG